UUCGGGCCGCUGCUUUUUCUCAUGCAGCCCUCCACGCCGUCGCCGACGCACCCUACUCGAAUAACUAAAGCGAUCCUGUCGCCUUCUCUGCGGCGCGGC
rfam:Pseudomonas pseudoalcaligenes KF707 = NBRC 110670 strain KF707 ctg10010, whole genome shotgun sequence.